GGAAUGUGCACAAGUCGCUUAACGUAGUUCGAACGUAGUGGAUCGGUUUGGUGCAGCUCGUGGCGAUCAGCGUGCUGAAAUUGCCGGUCGCUGGUUGCUCAUACUAAUAUAUACAAUGUGACUUUUUGAAUUUAAAUAUCAAACAACUCGGAACGCAAUUCAGUUUUCUAUAACAAUAAUAAGUGUGUAGAACAGCGUUCGUGCGCUGAUCCGAUUAGCAACUUAGUGAACGCAUACUCGCGAGCGCGUACCGAACAGCGCAGAUCUGCAGUAGUUUGAGCUGAGCGCGUGAGUGCGCUCUUGCGAUGACAUCAAUGGCAAGUGAGCGCAGCUCGUGUGCCCUGUUGGGGCGCUCGCAGUAGUUACCUGUCGCAUUGGCCACGUCUGCUACGAUCAGUUGAACGACAGCUAGCAACAAGUACGCUUGUUAGCCAAGCAUAGCGGACGUCUACUGGCUAAGUUUGCUAAGCCAACAAGUCUAACUACAUACAUUUGAAACAUUGGAGGCUGUCUUUUUGAGCUGAUCGUGUCUCAUUACUUCACCGAACACAGUGUUGCUAACCAGACUACACAGUUUCAGUGUUAAAUCAAUAAAAUACAACAAAACAGUGCUUUAUAUAUAUAUUUACCGAAAAAAACACUAAAGACUGAACAGUUAAUAAAAUAAAACAUUGGAGAAAUGCCACUUAGUUAACACGCAGGUGCGAAUUGGAAGCAGACUAAGAUGAAAGAACUUCGAGAAGCCAAAAAAAUGUGAUCGCCUGAGUUGUGAUGAGCUGGAAUGGAAAGCAAUGAAAGCAAACCAAACAACAACAGUACUAAUUUAUUUACUUGUACGAGUUUUGUUGCUUUGUUGUAUUUGUCGAACUGUUAAAAAGCCUCGAGUAAACAACAAAAAGCAAGUGAGCCAGCCAGAAUAACACAAAGUCAACAGAUUUUUAGUGGGCCGGCAAAUGAACCGAACUGGCCGCUUAUCGACACCAUUGUUUUGUGUUGGUAUUUGCUAUGGAAUUAAACGACAACAACCACAAGUCAAACAGUUAGGUACAGAACAGUUAUAUAGCUGCCAAAUUAAGCGACCUUAUUGCAGAGCUGAAACGGUCACUUCGAACAGGAGGAGCUCAGGCUUGAGAACAUAACCAAAUCGAAACACAGAGAAAAUAGCUUUCACGUGCGCAAAUUGAUUGAAGAUUGAAGACUAUAUAGUCCACAGUGUCGCUGACGUCGACACUCAAGCGCUAAGUAAAAAAAAUACGAAAAAAAUGACUUUGUGUGGUGAAUUUUUGCCACCAACAGACGAACUCCUGUACUUUGGAAAUAUGAGCUCGUUAAUUCUGGUACAAGCAUAUGCUCCUGUGCCUACCAGGAACUGUCAGUUGACUCCUGUCAAAAAGUUGACAAAAAGUAAGAUAAGCUGCGCAGUUCUGCUUUUGGUAGCUCUGGCUCAGCUGCCUGCUGUCAGUUCUCGUCGAUUUUCGUCCUUGACUGAAGCUGGUGUGAAACUUGAGCCUUCAGGCUGGCUGAAAAAAAAUUGACGUUGAAGAGUGAGGCUCGGCGUACAUAUUUUGUGUACUCACAUAUGAGAAGGAAGCAUAAAGCCAGCACGAUGCCUGCAGUCCACUAUCCAUUCGGGCAGUCGCAAGUGAUUAGAGACAACUGACGGAUGGAAUGCUCGGCAGUAAGCGCCAACGGCCAACUUGAGGCAGCUGUUGUGGAAAUGGAGCUCCGCUCAUUACUGUAGUAUGUCGCUGCUUGCAAGUUGUUGAGCUCCAAGCUAGUCUAUCAUGUCGCAGGCAUCGACACACGACAACCGGAGUGAUUAGCUGUGGCGCAUGGCGUAUGUUGGUAUGUCAUUGAGAAUAGCAAGAAUUGUGUGUCCAUUUGCGCUAGUUUGUAAUAUAGUUCGAUUAAUGUCAAUGCGCACUACGGUAACUUCCGGUGUUCGGUGUGGCCCACAAUGUGGCAGCGGAUGUGUGGUAGCUCAACCAGUUUGCCAAUGUUGCUUUUUUAUAAUGGUUGGGCUGAUAUAUUUAAAAAAAAAAUUUUAUUAGAAAUCUAGAGAGCCUACUAAUUUACAAUGCAAAAAACAUUUCUAAAAAUAUCUCAAAUAAUAUUUGCCGGAAAUUCGCUUGAUUACCAUUGAUUGAUCAAUUAAUUCUGAUUGUUUU